rnacentral:rRNA from 1 species
UCGAGAAUAUUCCACAAUGGGCAAAAGCCUGAUGGAGCGACGCCGCGUGCGGGAUGAAUGUCUACGGACUGUAAACCGCUUUUCCUUGGGAAGAAGGUUGUUUUGCAAUUUGACGGUACCAAGGGAAUAAGGGGUGGCUAACUUCGUGCCAGCAGCAGCGGUAAUACGAAGACCCCGAGUGUUAUCCGGAUUUAUUGGGCGUAAAGCGUGUGCAGGAGGUUUGGUGCGUCCGUCGUUAAAUUCCACUGCCUAACGGUGGAGCUGCGGCGGAUACGGCCAGACUAGAGGGGGUGAGAGGUCUGUGGAACGCACGGUGUAGGGGUGAAAUCCGUUGAUAUCGUGCGGAACACCAAAGGCGAAGGCAGCAGACUGGCGCCCUCCUGACUCUAAGACACGAAAG